ensembl:lncRNA
CAACUUGCACCUAUAGUAGCAGCUUGGGUUGCAAGUUAAGUUGGGGGCCUGGAGUCCUUUCUAUAUAUAUAAAAGAGUGAUGGCAUCACGGCAAUUCACAAAACAACAAAAGUACAGGCCCCCCAACCUCAAAAUUUGACAACACGACCCAUCAUCCACGUCUCAAGGUUGAUACAACAAAAAGAAAAAAAAAUCCUAAUUAGAGGGGGAGCAAUAAUUUUUUUUAUCCAAUUGCUGCCAGUUUAGAGGGCUAAUCUCUGCCCACUUGGUUGCCUAGCAACCAAGGGACAGCCAGGUUUCAGUUCGGGGACAGGCAGAUUUAGGCCUCACUUAGGCUUCUUCCACAGAUUAUCUAAUUUGCACUGGAUUAUAUGGCAGUGUAGACUCAAGGCCCUUCCACACAGCUAUAUAACCCAUUUAUAAUCUUUGCACUGGAUUAUCUUGACUCCACACUACCAUAUAAUCCACUUCAGUGUGCAUUUUAUACAGCUGUGAAGAAGGAGCCUCAUAUAAUCCAGUUCUGAGCAGAUAAUAUAAGAUUAGAAAUAUACAGUAGAGUCUCACUUAUCCAACGUAAACAGGCCGGUAGGAUAAGUGAAUAUGUUGGAUAAUAAGAAGGGAUUCAGGAAAAGCCAAUUAAACAUCAAAUUAGGUAAUCGUUAUACAAAUUAAGCACCAAAACAUCAUAUUAUACAACAAAUUUGACAGAAAAAGUAGUUCCAUGCACAGUAAUGCUAUGUAGUAUUUACAGUAGAGUCUCACUUAUCCACCACUCGCUUAUCCAACAUUCUUAUGUAGUAAUUAUUGUAUUUACAAAUUUAGCACCAAAAUAUCACGAUAUAUUGAAAACAUUGACUACAAAAAUGUGUUGGAUAAUCCAGAACAUUGGAUAAGUGAGACUCUACUGUAUAUACAAGUACUGAUGUUUCUUUUCUUCCAAUUAUGAGGGCCUGCCAUUAUUAGAGACACCUUGCUGCUUGUUGUUACUAGGAAGCUCUUCAUUAAUUGGGAGAUGCCCCUGUUCUGACCUGGGCAUCAGGACUCUGAAAACCCUUGCUGUGAUGGCACAUGCUACUGGCCACUGACUGUGAGAUUCUGUGACUAAUAAUCAAAACAGACUUUCCUGAGCUCAAGGAUUCCAUAACAUGAUUUAAUGUCAAGCAUGAAACCUACUCUUGUCCAGUCUUUUCCCGUGUUUGUAGUCAUAUGCAUAUUUGAGUCAUGUUAUCAAGCCAAUAUGCUGCCAUUUCACUUGUGUGGGCUUUUAUCUAUCAAUUGAUUUCUUAAUGUUUUGGACCACUGAGUCAUUUCUGACUGCAAAGGUCACAGUUACAGAUGGAGACUUUUCUUAAUCACUACAGCAUAUUUCCCCCCCCCCCUUUUCUUGUUUCUUUCACUUCUGUUUCUGGCUUCACAUCUGAAAGAUGUUCUACUUAAUGAAAUGAACCAGGAUCACUAUGUCUAGGAUAAUUAAUGCUUAAGCGAACAAUAGGAUAAUUGAAGAUACAGCAUGGAACUCUUCAUUGAUUGUUUGGUGAAAAUAGCAUGGGCAAUGCCAACUACUAGACUGCAGGUGUAUUGCCCCCCUCCCUAAACAUUUUUGUAUGGCUGCUGUCUCGGGGAAGCACAACAGCCAUGUUGGCUGAGUUUGAGUACCAAAGACAUGCUGUAAUACAGAAGUCAACUUUUAUUAGGAAGUAUUAACAUAAACAGGCAAGGUAUAGUCCUGGGCCACAUGAGGCCUCUAAGCUAUUUUGCAGUUCCCACCUCCUCCAGACUUCUGAUUAAAAAAAGGGCAGGUGAAUAACCUCUCCCGGAAUCCUUUAGGAGUGGUCAUUCACAUUUUACCAUUUACAGUGUGCCCUUGACCAUCAAACAAUGUCCAUAUUUUAAGACCAGAAGUGAGGUUUUGUUACUUUUUAGUGUUUGUGACAUGCAAUCCAUGCAGCCAACAGUGAGCCUGGGAGCAAAAAAAAAAAUGGCUGCUGCUCCUGCUGAUCUCAUAUUUCUUAUGAAUGACAAUUCAGCAAGAGAAAUAAACACUCAAAUAUGCAGGGUAAGUCCUCUCCUGUGAAGGAAGAACUUUGUCUCUCUCUCUCUCUCUCCCCCCCCCACCCGAACUGAAAUGCUAAUAUUUUAUGCCUGAUGAAAUGCCAUUCCCCUGCUCUGAGCAAGUGUGUCAGUUCCAAUAGGCGGUGGUUUGCAGAAUGUCACUGUGCAGAUGUUAUAAAUAAUGCAGUGUGGGCAAAUACCUGCCAGCCAUAAUUCCUAGAGGGACUGGAGAGCUAUAGCUCUAGUCGCUUCAGGAUAUUCCUGCCAACCACGCUUACCACAGAUACACACACACACACGGAGCACUAUUAUUAGUUUCAAAAAUCCUUAUUGUGAUUUUGACUAUUUCUUAAAGCUUUAAGGUACACUAUUAAUUUUCCCCACAGCAUCAAAUACCCAUAUUUUGCUCCUCCAUUAUCUUGAAAAGAAGACUGGUUGGAAAACUUUAUGGCAGUUAUGAAUAUGUAACCUAGAGUUAUGCACUAGUGUCUAUUACAUAUUCAUGUUCCCUUUGUAGCCCCUAGUUUAAUCCCUCAGUUCCUCCUUAUUGGGGAAGGAGUCACUGCAAUUGGUGGAGAUCUAUUUUCCAGUCCACUGGGAAGCAAAUGCUUGAUGUUCCCCUUGACCAAUCUCUGUCUUGAGGGGAUUGUGACAGAGACCAUGAUUCGAUCUGUUACACUAGAGAUCACUUAUGGAAAGAGUGGAAGAAGGAAGAAAUGGCAGUCAGCUGCGUCAUAAGUGAUAAGGAAACAGACCUUUGUCAAUUGCAGCUGCUGCAUCCUGUAAAUGAAGGGGGCAUCAGGCCAUGAUUCACUGCAUACCACCAUAAUUACAGUGCUCACAUAUAUGUAAAUCCCUUAUAUAAUUCUGGCCAUUAGCACAAGACUAUGAUGGAAAAUUUGGCUGUGAUUUGUUAUUUCUAUACAGCUGCUUCAUUUGAAGAGACUGAGAUUUUCAUGGCAAACUUACAUUUUUCUGAUUAUUAACUAUUACUUUCCGUGGUAUCACAUUGACUCAGCAUUGUGACAGCAACAGCUGGAGCUAGUUUGGACAGCAUGUUUUAAGGGAAGUGUAGAUAGUCAAUGGAAUAUAUUUAAAGGGGAAAGAAAACACAGAAGGUUUAUAAUCUACUGCUGACCAGUUCCUUGAAUGUGGUUCAAUAUUAUGGAAAAGCUCAACCAUUUAUCUGUCUUCACUUUUCUCAUAUAGUUUUAAGUGGGCUACUUUUAAUCAAGUAGUGAGUUAUUGUUGCUAAGUUUUUCCUUCUUUUGAUUGAUGUACAGUUAUUCCCCAAGUUACAAACAUUCGACUUACAAACGACUCAUAGUUAACAAUAGGGGUGAGACAACAGGAAGUGAGAGAAAUCUCCCCUUGGAAGGGAAAUUCAUUCCUAGAAGAGUUAUUAUCAUGGGGAAAAGGGGUCUCCACUGAAACUUUAUCAUCAAUCCUUGCUUCCACAACAAGCUCAAUUUUUCAAAAUCCAAUUCUCACAGGAUCAGAAAAUGAGAUGAAAUCUUCUGAACAGGGGCACAGACAGUAAAACAAAAACCACAGGGUGUAACCUUUCCCUGUACUAUACAAAAACACAUAAAGUGUACCUGUUCUGACUUACAAACAAAUGCAACUAAAGAACAAACCUUCAUAAGUUGGGGACUGCCUGUAUUUGAAUUCCUUUUGGAGUUGUCAUUACAUUUUAAUCUCUUUUAUCUCUGUAAUUGAACUUGUUUUAUCUGAUUUAACUAUCUACCACCUUGAAUGUCAUGAAGGCAGGGAGAAAGGUACAGAAUAAUUCUAAUAAACAUUGGCUGACAUCCUGCAUUGUAGUCACAUAUCUAUGAUCUAAGCUAUGGAUUAGUAGUUGCGGUAUCUCAUUUUCAAC